GCAAACUUGGUCAUUUAGAGGAAGUAAAAGUCGUAACAAGGUCUCCGUAGGUGAACCUGCGGAGGGAUCAUUACUGAGUUAUCUAACUCCCAAACCAUUGUGAACUUACCACUGUUGCCUCGGCGGCAGUCCUCUAAUCUUCGGGUCUGAGGCGCCGCCGGUGGACUACUUAAACUAUGUUAAUUUUUGGCAUUCUGAAUUCAAAACUUAAUAAGUUAAAACUUUCAACAACGGAUCUCUUGGUUCUGGCAUCGAUGAAGAACGCAGC
rnacentral:misc_RNA from 1 species